rnacentral:rRNA from 1 species
AGAACGCGUGCGGCAGGCCUACACAGUUCAAGUGAGCGAGAAGCUAACUUCGGUUAGUGGACAGCGGCGCACGGUAACGCGUGGGAAUUUACCUUUCGGCGGGGGACAACAGUUGGAAACGACUGCUAAUCACCGCAUACGCCCUACGGAGGAAAGAUUUAUCACCGAAAGAUAGGCCCGCGUUAGAUUAGGUAGUUGGUAGGGUCAAAGCCUACCAAGCCGACGAUCUAUAGCUGGUUUGAGAGAACGAUCAGCCACACUGGAACUGAGACACGGUCCAGACUCCUACCGGUGGGGCAGCAGUGGGGAAUCUUGCACAAUGGGCGAAAGCCUGAUGCAGCCAUGCCGCGUGAGUGAGAAGGCCUUCGGGUUGUAAAACUCUUUUAGAUGUGAAGGAUGAUGACGGGAAAUCGAAAAAACCGUUACAUAGGCCAACACCAAAGGAA